AACGAACGCUGGCGGCAUGCCUAACACAUGCAAGUCGAACGAGACCUUCGGGUCUAGUGGCGCACGGGUGCGUAACGCGUGGGAACCUGCCCUUAGGUUCGGAAUAACUCCCCGAAAGGGGUGCUAAUACCGGAUAAUGUCUUCGGACCAAAGAUUUAUCGCCUUUGGAUGGGCCCGCGUUGGAUUAGCUAGUUGGUAGGGUAAAAGCCUACCAAGGCGACGAUCCAUAGCUGGUCUGAGAGGAUGAUCAGCCACACUGGGACUGAGACACGGCCCAGACUCCUACGGGAGGCAGCAGUGGGGAAUAUUGGACAAGGGGCGAAAGCCUGAUACAGCAAUGCCGCGGGAGUGAUGAAGGCCUUAGGGUUGUAAAGCUCUUUUACCCGGGAUGAUAAUGACAGUACCGGGAGAAUAAGCUCCGGCUAACUCCGUG
rnacentral:rRNA from 1 species